rnacentral:rRNA from 1 species
AACGAACGCUGGCGGCAUGCCUAACACAUGCAAGUCGAACGAGACCUUCGGGUCUAGUGGCGCACGGGUGCGUAACGCGUGGGAACCUGCCCUUAGGUUCGGAAUAACUCAGAGAAAUUUGAGCUAAUACCGGAUAAUGUCUUCGGACCAAAGAUUUAUCGCCUUUGGAUGGGCCCGCGUAGGAUUAGCUUGUUGGUGGGGUAAUGGCCUACCAAGGCGACGAUCCUUAGCUGGUCUGAGAGGAUGAUCAGCCACACUGGGACUGAGACACGGCCCAGACUCCUACGGGAGGCAGCAGUGGGGAAUAUUGGACAAUGGGCGAAAGCCUGAACCAGCUAUGCCGCGUGAGUGAUGAAGGCCUUAGAGUUGUAAAGCUCUUUUACCAGGGAUGAUAAUGACGGUACCUGGAGAAUAAGCACCGGCUAACUCCGUG